AUCUAAUUCUUUUAUGUUUAAAAGUACCCCAUGCCAUGUUAGAUAGGUUAUGAACCUUGGAAAAUUAUUAUUUUGCAUGUAUUUAGACAAACAUAGAUCCAAGGUUUAUUAGGGUUGCAUGCACACUUAGGAAGUGUUAGAUUGCUCAAAACCCAACAGUGGUAUCAGAGCCUAGGCUUGCUUGUUUGAUACUUGAUGCAAAAUAGUGAAAAAAGUUGAAAUUGUUGCUGUCUGGCUGAUGGACUCGCCGAGUCCAUGGGGGGACUCGCCGAGUUCAAGGCAAAAUUCAUCCUACUCGGCGAGUAGGUUCGUGCACUCGGCGAGUAGAAUGAUCAGAAUGCAGAAUUUCGACUUUUGCUGCUGGAAAUGGACUAGAAACAUUACCCUAAACUGUUUUGGUGUUUUAAAACUUGUUUUAGUUGGUGUAAUGGUUGUUCUAAUCCAUUUACAAUAGCAUAUAUCAAAAUUCCAUGAUUUUUAUGUGUUCAUAUAAUUCUUGAAAUUUUGAUGAUCAUGUUCAUGUUCUUAUGAAUUUAGAAGAUGAUAGGAAUUAUUUGCUGAAUUGUUUAGAAUUAAUUCUUGAUCAUUUAUGUGUUUUAAUGGAGUCCAUAAUUUGUCCUCAAGUUAUGGAUAUCCAAAGGUCACUUUUCUUUAACACACACUUAAACCCAUAAGUUACAUGAAAAUGAAGAGUCUUCAUUUUUAUGAACCUUUAAUUCAUAAGUUAUGAAAUGAAAAGUUUUGGAUAGUUACAAAACUUGCCCUCAAGUUUUGGAAUUUGUAAAGUUUCACACACUUUAAUAAACUUUAAUUCCAACCCUUAGAGUUUUAAUAGUUAAAAUUCAACCCUUAUACUAUUUAUAACAUUAAUGGUUAAUUAUUAUAUAUAUGUAUAAGAAUAAGUCGUUCUACCGUUAGUAGGCCUCAUUCACGAAGCCGGUCUAUAAGGUGGGUAUAAGGUUGUUGCCUAUAAAAUGGCGACUUAAUGGGUGUCCACUCUCACCCACCGCUUGCUUGACUGGUGGAGGGUCGUUAGCCGAACGGGUAGGACAAUGACUUUAAAUUCUCAUUAAAAGUAUAAUGAUUAUUAUAAAGUAACUAAAUAUUUUUUUUUUAAUUCCCAAUCUUAGUUACUUUAGGAAAAAUGUGAAUUUGGUGCUAGCCCAUGGAAUUCACACUUUGUACCUUACCAAGUCGUUGGUGGAGCGUGUGUGGUUAACCGGCACACUAACUUGGACUAGUAAGGAUCACGAAGGGUGACUUAAUGUUUGUCAUAGAUCAAUGGAGCGUGUGUGGUUAACCGGCACAUUGAUUAGGUGAUAAUAUUAAGGGUACCAAGUGAAUUGGUAUGGUUAUUCACACCUUGUUUUGUGAUCCUCGGCAUCCCAGUCACAAAAUUUGAGAGGGCACACUCGAGAUUGAAACAUGCCAUUGAAAAGUUCAAUGAAUCUCAAAAGAUCUAGGAAUUUCAAAUCCAAUUAAAACCUAAUAAAUUAUUUCGUUUUUCAUGGUGGAAAUUGGUGAAUCGUCAUUCGCCUACCUUCAAAUAUUUUAUAGCUUGGAUUACGGCAUCCCUCUUCCAAAUUAUAAAAUAUUGUGUUGGGUCCUAGCCUUAAUAUUUCAUAUUGGGUGUUAUAUUAAGGACUUUGAAUCAACUAACUUGAUUUUCUCCCAUUAUAGAUGUCUGGUUCAGACAACUAUGAUCUUCCCAAAUCUCUUGAAGAUGGUGUCCCUCAACAUCAUGCUUCACUUCCUCCACCUCCUCCAAUUAUUCUCCCUCACCCACAAGUUCUUGAAAAGUUUAAAGUCACUCAAUCCCUAUUGGCAAGCAUAGUCUAUGUGUGCUCACAUCUUGGAGAUAAAGUCACAUAUUGACAAGCCGGGAGAGUUGGGUGUCAAAGUCUCGUGAAAGUUGGAUGUUCAAUCACUUUCUUAGUAACAUAGUGAGUCUCUUUGGGACUACUAUGAGACAGACUAUGACAUGACCCUUAAUGAUGUUAUCUAUUUGCUUGGUGUUGUGGAAUCAGCAAUGAUUUGGAACACCAGUAAAGCAAAUUUGAUUAAAAGAACAACUUCCCAAGUCUUAAAUGGACAUUGACAAUGGUAGCAUUGGAUAUCUAGAAAAGGAUUUCUCUUCCCAAUGGAAAGGGAUCGGCCAUAGUCAACUCGGUUGACCAAAUGGUAAAGAGAAAGGCUAAGUCUGAGAUAGUCUCAUGUGCCAUUACCAAAGGGUCCAUGUGUUUUGUUGCCAAAGGAAGGGGCAUUGGUUGCGAAGCUGCCCUAUUCACCUGAAAGGUCAUAAGGUUGAUCAAGUCAAGAGGUUUGACUCUACUUCGGGUAAAGUCCACUGUCUAACUCUAUUAAGUUCCUAUUUGGAGAUUCUUAUUACAUAAUGUGAAUGGGUCACAUGCUGAUGUUUUUAAGAAUCAAAGAAAAGAUAGGAAGCUUAAAGUAAGUAUAUGUUGAUUCUGAUUGCAAAGGUGGGUUUCGAUCGCAUGGUUCGGCAAUCAGAAUUUUGAGCUGUUGCUUAAGAGUUAUAAUAUAUUGCUUAUGAAUAGAUAACAACAAGGUUUUCAUGUGGAUUGUAAGGAUAAGUUUUUCCGCAAAGUUUUAAAAUAAAAGAAAAAAAGGGUUUUAAUUUUAUUUAUUUUAAAAAUAUCCUUACAAUGGCAUCUGUGGAAAAUUGUUGCUUAUAUGUUUCCAGUAAUAGCAAUAUUGGAAAGUGGAUUUGAUUCUUUCAUUUGUGGUAGUGUCUGAAUUUACCAAAUGAAGAAAGUUUUUCAUCACCCAAGUUUCAAUUGGACAGAAACUUGGAAUCAUACAAGUUGUAUUGUAUGAUGAAUGAGAAUUUUCAUCUUUGAAAAUUAAGACUAAUUCUUUGAUCACAUGUAUAUGUGAGUCAAUUGAAGGACUAAGGAAUUAGGUACACUGGGUGUGCGCUGGUCAAGGUCCACCACAAAGAUUGAUUUGUCAUGAUUUACUAAAGAUUAGUAAAUAUGAUUAUACUUAUAAGGUUAAGUAUAAUUCUGUAACAUUGGAAAGGUUACAAUGUAUGACAAAACAAAUGAGAAGAAUCAAAUUAGGCAGAAAGAUAAAAGUUUCUCAAAUCUGAAAGGAUGGGAGAGUACUUUAGUAUCGUAUUUCAUGAUCAUCUUAAUGAUUAUGAAACCAUAUCACAAAUUCAUACUCUAAGGACGUCUUAGUGCAUUGUUAUGGCUAAGAAGAGAGGUCAUGAAUUGUUGGAUUGGUUAAAAUCAAGAAGAUGAGUCAUACUUCGUUCCAAAACAAUUCUUAGAGUCAUACUCCAAGAUUGUAACUUUGAGUGACAUAAAGGAAGAUUUAUUAACACUAGUCAAAUGUAAGAGUAAAAUGUUUUCUACUCUUGUACAUUUGAGAUUGGUAAGUUGUGAUGUCUUGGAUGAGACAAAGACCAACUAAGACCAAUUGUGUGAAGUGUUAGUCUUGAUAAGAAUCCGCACUAUCCCUUGAAUAUUUGUUUUGUCAAGGAAUGGUUCUUGACUGGGGAAACUUAUAUGUCAAGGGGACAGUGGGAGCCUUAAAGAUCCUGAAAGAGUUUCAAGAUUUAAUCAAGAGUAAAACCUGUAAUUUAUCACUAGCACACGACUUAAGGUUUGCAACCUAUCGUGUUGACAUAAUUCUUAUUUCUGUACCUACUUCAAAUAAGUUGAAUUUGCAUGUGAGUUAUCAGAGUUCAACUUGGAAGCAUUGGUGGGCCUUGUGCUACCAAGGUGACAAGAAACUAAGAUUGAACAAGUUUAAUCCAUGUAAGGCUGAAUUUGUCACUAACCUUAUCUUGUGAUUAUGGUUUUGACAAAUUCACAUGGAUAGGAACUCAUACACUAUAAAAUCUAAGUGUCAUAAGGUUUCUCUCCGAUUCAUGAAAAUGAUGGUGAGGAAACGCUUUCACUAAGUAGAUUUUACGUAGAUAUCAAUUGUGUUAUUUGCAUUUUCAAAAGUCGUUAGUGGAGCGCGUGUGGUUAACCGGCACACUAACAUGGACUUGUGAGAAAUGGCAAAUGCCUAAGCAAUUGAGACUAUGAUUACGGCAUCCCUUUUCAUAGUUCUGAAAAUUGUUUAGACACACAUGUGAGCUAUCUAAGAAAGGGUGUAUGAAUCUAAAUUUCAGAAGUCCAACAGAUUUCUGGAAAUGUGUCAGAGCUAGUGGGAGCAUAAGUGUUAUGCUGAUAAUCAUCAUGUUAGUGGGAGCAUGACUAUUAUGAUUAGUAUUGCAAGCUAGCAAUGUUAAUUAUAGAAAACAAAGUUUCAAUCCGUGAAGUUGCAGGGGUUGAAAAGUUGUUUUGCUAUAAUUAAGGGAGAGGAAAUUAUACUUCAUUUCAAUUCUAAAGCUUAGAUUGAGAUUUUAAUCAUCUUUAGUCAAGAAUAUAUAUAUGAAUUUUAUGUCGGAAUGGUUCAACUUGAAGAAAUUCUAUAUAUAUUGCGUUUUCAAAAUUCGAUUAUGAUUACGGCAUCCCUCUUCAUAGUUAAAUUUUGAAAACAUGGCAAAUAAAAAAUAUUGUAGCAAAAGACUGGUCUAGUAUCAUGUCUUUAUGUCAAACAUCAUGAAUCGUGUCCCAUAUGCUUCGGAUAUAGGAUCGAUUUCAUGUGCUAUAAUAUUCAUCCUUUCUAAAUUUUCCAAAUGCUUAAGGCAUUUAGAAGGGAAAAGUCUAGAACUGGAUAUGACUAAAGUGAUUAAGCAAUUGUCGAGGACAAUCUGAGGUUCGCCAAAGAUUGGUUGCUCAGGGACAUUUGGAAGUCUAGUGUUAAUUUUGGUAGGACCAUAUCGACAUUUUCUGAAAAGAGGUAACUCUUGUUCGGAAGUGAUAGUCAAAUAGGACUAUGGAAAUGUCUCCAUAGGUGGAAGUGAUUCAAUCUAUGUAAGAUUAGGAAACUUAAUGCAAAAAGGAUGUUCCCAAGGAGCUGAUCUCCUUUGGAAUGCUCUGUAAUGGUUGUUGUCAAGUCUUUCUGACUUUGUGCAUAAUCAUUACAAGAGGAUCAAUGCAUAUAAGUUUAGAAUCUAACAGAUUUCAGUAAAUGACAUAAAUUUGGAAUUCUUGCAUUUACAAUAAGGAUUUGGGAUUGUGAAAUGAGUAUCAUUGGAAUCAUGUUCAAUUGAUCUACAUCACAAUGUAAGGAUCAUAGACAAACAUAGUGUGCAUACUUGGGGUAUGGCAUAACUAUUGUUUAGAAAAACAAAGUGUACAUGCUAGGAGCAUGGGACGACUGUUGUUUUUAUUCAAGUCUUAAGUUGAUUAUUUGAAACAUUGAAUAAUGUGUAAUCAAUAUGGUGAUAAAUAAAAAGUGGUUUUAUUUAUAUUCAAAAGGGUUCUGAGACCAUAUUAGAUUCGAUUAUUAUUGUAUUUCACUUUGCAUGUUUUGACUUCCAAAAUAGCUAGGUUAUUCUUUCCGGAUGACUAAGUUAUUUAAACACUCCACAGUCGUUCAUAUGUUGGAAGUAGGUAUGAAUCAAGACUGUCAUGAAUCGGGUUUGUAGAUGGCUAAAUGAGUUUAGUCAUGGCAAUGGUUGCUACAACAUUCAUGAGUACUCAUAAGUUAUGAGUAUUGGAAUAAACCCACGCUCACUUGUAUCACUUCAUGGAAUUUAUCUCGAGUGAUCGUGAGACGAUAAUAUCAUAUAAAUCUUCAAACCUAGAGAUAUGAGUUGUUACCUAUGAGUUGGUUGUGCAUUGAUUGCACGUAAACGCAUCAGUAACUUGAUGUUAUAAAACGUGCCUUUGUGUACAAUUCAACAAGUAGUAGAACAAGCAUAUGAGUCGAAGUUUAUCUGUUCCUUCUAGAAAUAGAAGCGAUAUCUGGGCCCCUCGAUGAUUUUGUUGUGACCUAUGUACCGGCCGGUCAGAACUGAAUUGAUGUGUUCGAUUAAGUUCUUUGUCAAACAAAUCGAAAAUCGGGAAACAAACUGCUGGACAAUAAGUACGACGUUGUUCCAUGUAUUUGUCCGGCUGAUAUCAUGAGAACAGAGGAUUAUAUGAUCACUUAUCUAAAAUGGCGCUUCAUAGUUCAACAGAGUUUUCGAGAGCUACGAUUGCUGGUUGGUUCCUGAAGUAACAUACGCAAAUAUAGUUAUUAGACUUAUCCAAGUGGGAGUCUGUUGGAUAAGGUGUCUAAGUCCAUAACUUAUUUGGUAUAUACUUGACCCGACCCGGCAUGGUCCAUUUGGGUUGCAUUUCAUCCAAACUAUUUAUGGAUAAUUUUAUGAGAGUUAUACACAUAUGUUUAUUAAUAUAUUAUAAGUUAUAAUAUAUUAAUAUGAAGUCAUGUUAUUUAAAUUAGUCUUAGUCUUAAAUUAAUUAUGAAUUAAUUUAGAGAUUAAAAGGAAGACUAAUUAGAUUGUGGGCUAUUGGUUUUAUAUAGUGUGGGCUAACACUCAUUUGUUAAUGGGCUAGGCUUGUAUGGAAGUCCAUGGAUGAUCCAUGGAGCUUUUAACCCAUGGAUCCUUGGAAAAGGAAAGGUCAUGGGUUAUUAGGGUUUCACCCUAAUCAUGUACACUAUAUAAGCAUGCUUAUGUUGCAUGAAAUAGUUACUAGUGGCACUAGUUAUGUGAGACUUGGUGUGUGGCCGAUUUUAUAGUGUGUAUACACUCUCUCAAAGUUUUCCAAGAGUUUGUGGUGAUUUGUGAUUCCAUUUGAGGCAUUCACACUAUUGGUGCUUGGCCCUCAAACUCCUUAAGAAUCAAACUCAUCAUCAAAAGGUAUGUAAUCUCAUCUAAUAAUUUUAUGUUUAAAAGUACCCCUUGCCAUGUUAGAUAGGUUAUGAACCUUGGAAAAUUAUUAUUUUGCAUGUAUUUAGACAAACAUAGAUCCAAGGUUUAUUAGGGUUGCAUGCACACUUAGGAAGUGUUAGAUUACUCAAAACCCAACAUAGGGUUCACAAGGUAUACUUGGACUUGGGGUGUUAUAAUUCUCCCCCACUAGAAUCAGACUUCGCCCUCGAAGUCAUGCUCCGUAAAUAGCUCAAGAUGCUGCUCUCGCAUCUCCGACUCCUAUUCCCAAGUUGACUCGGACCCUUCCGAUGCUGCCACUGUACCAGAACCAAGGGCACUUCCUUGUUUCUCAAAACCUUCACCCUCCGAUCCAAAGUCGCAAUCGGUCUCUCAAUAUAAUUCAGGCCCGCAUCUACCUGAAUGUUCUCUAAUGGCACUACUAUCAUCUCGUCGGCUAUAAACUUCUUCAACUGGGACACAUGGAAGGUGUUAUGAAUCUGACUCAACUAUGCAGGUAACUCCAACCGGUAGGCUACCCUGCCUACCCUGGCAGUCACUCUAAAAGGACCGAUGUAUCGGCGGCCUAGUUGCCCCGCUUCCUGAAUCGAAUCACCCCUUUCCAUGGGGAUACCUUCAAGAGGACAAAGUCUCCAACCUGGAAUUCUAACUCGGAUCGUGGCCUGUCCGCAUAACUCUUCUGGCGACUCUGGGUCGUCAGCAAUUUCUGUCUAACCUGCUGGACCUACUCAGUCGUCCUUAGCACUAUCUCAGUGCCACCCAUCACUCUUUGUCCCACCUCCCCCACCCCAACAAAUAGGAGUCUAAAACCUCCUCCCAUACA
rnacentral:lncRNA from 1 species